AAAAAAAAAAAGUUUCUGCCUUGGGAGACUGAAUGUGAUGACACUGGCUGAGAUGGUCAGUCCAAGACAUGAGGGCUGGUUGGGGAAGUAAUGAGUUCAAUUGCAGAUAGAUUUUUGUUUUUGUUUUUAGAGACAGGGUGUCUGCAGAUAGAUUUUUGUUUUUGUUUUUAGAGACAGGGUGUCUCGCUCUGUUGCCCAAGGUGGAGUGCAGUGGUGUGAUCAUAGCUUACUGCAGCCUUGAAAUCCUGGGCUCAAGCGAUCCUCCCACCUCAGCCUCCUGAGUAGCUGGGACUACAGGCAUGUGCCACCACGGCUGGCUAAUUAUUAUUUUUUAUUUUUUGCAGAGACGGGGGUCUCUCUAUGUUGCCCGAGCCAGUCUCGAACUCCUGGCCUCAAGUGAUCCAUCUGCCUCAACACCCUAAAGUGCUGGCACUAUAGGCAUGAGCCACGGCACCCAGCCACUGUAAGCCUUUUUGCUUCACCUAGCCACCAAUCUAAAUGGGGGGAAGUGUUCUCCAUUUUUUUAGAUUUUCAUAUCUGUAAGUAGACCAACCAUGACAGCUUUACGACCCAAAUACAAGGCUACAUUUGAUGUUACUAGCGAGCAAAAUAACUUCAGAUCUACAUGGGCAGUGAAAUAAAUAGUGCGCAUCUUUAAAAUUUCCCCUCUAGUUCUAAUCUUUUCAGGUUUCCCCCUCAUUACUCUGAAAUUUCUGGAAUGUGUACAUGUUGCUCUCACACCCAUUCCUGGGCUUUAAGGCAGGAACAUCAAAAAACAUCAGCAUGAGGUCACCACUUGGUCAGUGGAAAAUUUUUUUUUUUUUUCUGAGAUGGAGUUUCGCCCUGUUGCCUAGGCUGGAGUGCAGUGGCGUAAUCUCAGUUCACUGCAACCUCCACCUCCCGGGUUCAAGCAAUUCUCCUGCCUCAGCCUUCCAAGUAGCUGGGAUUACAGGAGCGUGCCAGCAUGCCCAGCUAAUUUUUUGUAUUUAGUAGAGUUGGGGUUUUGCCAUGUUGGCCAAGCUGGUCUGAAACUCCUGACCUCAUGAUCUGCCCCCCUUGGCCUCCUAAAGUGCUGAGAUUACAGGCAUGAGCCACCGCGCCCGGCGGGUCAGUGGAAAUUUUUUUAAAUGGUGGUGACACCAUCUCUGGUGCUUCCACCCUGUGGCUCCUGGCUCCCAGCCAUUUUUCAUGGUGGCAAAGACUGCCCCCAGGGUGGUGGCAGAGGUCAGUGUGUGGCCUGGACGAGUCCCAGCCAACAUGCUCCUCACCCCAUCCUGGACGCAACGUGGAGGUGGUAGAGAGAGAGGAGCAAGGGAAGCUGGACCCCCGCAGAGUGGACCACUACUCUACAGGGACAUGCAUGAGGGACACCUGGAUCUGAACAGCUAGCACUGAGACACUCCAACACACGGUACCUGGAAACCGCAGGUGGCACUUUGAGGAAACAACCAGGUUCUCCCUCUGCCACCCAGGCUGGAGUGCAGUGGAACGACCAUGGCUCACUGCAACCUCCACCUCCCAGGCUCAAGUGAUUCUCCUGCCUCAGCCUUCAGAGUUGCUGGAACCACAAGCAUGCACCAGCAUGUCUGGAUAAUUUUUAAAUUUUUUGUAAAGACAGGGUCUCCCUAUGUCGCCCAGGCUGGUACAGAAUUCCUAGGCUCAACCACUUCUCUUGGCUCGGCCUCCCAAAGUACUAGGAUUAUAGGCGUAAGCUACCAUGCUUGACCUCUUUAUUUUUAUUUCUUUUGAGACACGGUCUUGCCCUUACACCCAGGAUAGAGUGCUGUGGUGGGAUCGUAGUUCAUUGCAACCUCAGCCUCCUGGGUUCAAGCGAUCCUCCCGUCUCUGCCUCCCACAGUUCUGGGAUUGCAGGCACAAGACAUAGUGCCCAGUGGGGAGGUCUUUUUCCUAAAUCGCACAAAGGUGUGCUGUUGGCUAGUGGUGGCCCUGACUGAUCUCCAAGCUGGGCCCUACCUUGCUGCCCAUCUUAAGCAAACCCUCAAACCCUUCCCAGAUCCUCUCCCAACCCCCUCACUCUCAUUCCUGGGUUCCCGCUGUCUGCGCUGGCUCAGGCCCCAGUCUGCCUGGCCCCUUUUUUUUUUUUUGAGACAGAGUCUAACUCUGUCGCCCAGGCUGGAGUGCAGUGGCAUGAUCUUGGCUCACUGCAGCCUCCGUCUCCCGGGUUCAAGCAAUUCUCCUGCCUCAGCCUCCCGAGUAGCUGGGAUUACGGGUGCCUGCCCCAAUGUCCAGCUAAUUUCUGUGGGGUUUUUGUUUUUUGUUUUUUGGUUUUUUUUGAGACAGAGUCUCUCUCUGUUGCCCAGGCCACUGGAGUGCAGUGGUGCGAUCUUGGCUUACUGCAACCUCCGUCUCCCGGGUUCAGGCGAUUCUUAUGCCUCUGCCUCCCGAGUAGCUGGGACUACAGGCGUGCGCUACCACGCCCGGCUAAUUUUUGUAUUUUUAGUACAGAUGGGAUUUCACUAUGUUGGUCAGGCUAGUCUUGAACUCCUGACCUUGUGAUCCACUCGCCUCAGCCUCCCAAACUGCUGGGAUUACAGGCAUGAGCCACCGCACCUGGCCCUAAUUUUUGUAUUUCUAGUAGAGACAGGGUUUCACCACAUUGGCCAGGCUGGUCUCAAACUCCUGACCUCAAGUGAUCUGCCCGCCUCGGCCUCCCAAAGUGCUGUGAUUACAGGCGUAAGCCACCGCACCCUGCCUGGCCCCUUUCUUUCUUUUUUUUUUUUUCUUCUAAGACAGGGUCUCACUCUGUGGCUCAGACUGGAACGCAGUAGCGUGAUCAUGGCUCAAUGCAACCUCCACCUCCCAGGGUAAAGCCAUCUUCCUACCUCAACCUCCAGAGUAGCUGGGAAUUCAGGCUUGCGACGGCACACCUGACUACAUUUUGCAUUUUUUAUAGAGAUGGGAUCUCACUAUGUGGUCCAGGCUGGUCUCGACCUCCUGGGCUCAAGCAAUCUACCUGCCUUGGCUUCUGAAAGCAUUGGGAUUACAGGUGUGAGCCACUGCAACUAGCCUUCUUUUAAAAAAAAGAAAAAAUAGAGACAGGGUCUCACUAUGUUGCUCAAGCUAAUGAACUUCUGGCCUCAAGUGACCCUCCCACCUUGGCCUCCCAAAGUGCUGGGAUUACAGGCAUGAGCCACUGUGCCCAGCCCUGGCCCCUUUAUUGCUUUUCUUUGCAUAUUCAAGCCUUCUCCACCUGCUCCUUCACAAAUAAAAGAAAAACCAAGCCUCACCUGGCUCAGGGCAUCCCUGGGCUGGCUGCAGGGCCGGGGUGUGUGGAGCACGACCUGCCGGACUCCGGAGGUGGAGGCGGAGCGCCCCAGGCGGUAGCCUCCCGUGAAGUCUGAGGUGGAAGAAGGAGGAGUGAGGAGUGCAGGGGCCUCAGAAAUAACUCCCUCUGAAAUCCCUUGGGCUCACAGCUCUGCAGCGGGGGUAAAUCAGCUCGAGAAGACCUCGGUUGUACCUUCCACGGGCUGGAAAAUGGGCACGGCAAAGAUAGGCACGGCCUGAUCCCUGGAGCCUGCGAAUGCUACUUUCCAUGGCAGCGUCUUUGCAGUCUUGCUGUGUGGCUUUAGGCAGAUCGUGCAACCUCUCUGAGAGACGCUUUAGUCCGGGGAUGUCCACUCUUUUAACUUCCCUGGGCCACAUUGGAAGAAGAAUUUGUCUUGGGCCACACAUAAAAUACUCUUAACACUGGCGGGGCGCGGUGGCUCACGCCUGUAAAUCCCAGCACUUUGUGAGGCCGAGGCUGGUGGAUCACCUGACAUCAGAAGUUUGAGACCAGCCUGGCCAACGUGGCAAAACCCCGUGUCUACUAAAGAUAGAAAAAAUAAGCUGGGCAUGGUGGCCUGCGCCUGUAAUCCCAGCUACUCGGGAGGCCAAGGCAGGAGAAUCGCUUGACCUGGAAGGCAGAGGUUGACGUGAGCCCAGAUCGGGCCACUGCACUCCAGCCUGGGUGAGAGAGAGAGACUUUGUCUCAGAGAAAAAAAAAAAAAAAACGAAAACAAAAACAAAAACCAAAACUUAGGCGUUUUAAGAAAAUUUACCAAUUUGUCUUGGGCCACAAGCUGCCCGUGCGGUUGGACAAGCUGGCUUUAGUCCAUUCUUUGGAAGGGGAGGGGUAGUAAAAUAAUACCAAAGUGCCUUGUAAAUUGUAAAAGGUCCCACAUAUUAUAGGCUAUUAAGAAUGCUCCCAGGGGAGGGAAAUAUUAAAACACUUAAAACCCAUUUCACAUUUAUACCUUUAGUAUGAUUAGUUUAUAUGUAUAGGCCGGGAGCAGUGGCUCACGUCUGUAAUCCCAGCACUUUGGGAGUCUGAGGCAUGCAGAUCACUUGAGGUCAGGAGUUCGAGACCAGCCUGGCCAACAUGAUGAGACGCCCAUCUCUACUAAAACUACAAAAAUUAGCCAGGCGUCGUGGCGGGUGCCUACAAUCCUGGCUACUCGGGAGGCUGAGGCAGGAGAAUCACAACCUGGGAGGCGGAGGUUCAGUGAGCUGAGAUCACGCCACUGCACUUCAGCUUGGGUGACAGAGCAAGACUUCAUCUCAAAUUAAAAUAUAAAAAUUUGUAUGUAUUUACUCAACAAACAUUUCUGCAGAGAUCAACAAUGUGCCAGGGCCUCUAGACUCAGAUACCAGUGCCUGAGGCAGAGAAAGAGACUGCCCAAAGAUAAUUUUUGAAUAGUUUGUAGCAAGUCAGCAAGAAGGAAGGAGGGUCUGGGGAAGGAGGGACCAAGGCUGUGUUCUGAAUGUUGCUAGAGGAGAAAAGGUUCUGUAAGGGACAGAGGGAUGCAGUCUAGAGGGGUAGGGAGCAGGUGGGAGGCUGCUUCCCAGACUUCACUACUUGGGAGGCCCACAGACUUGGGCUAUGGCAGCCGUUGUUACUAUGGCUUAAGGGAGAGAAACAGAAGUGUGGAUGCUUCUAACAAAGAGAUAAAGAAUAAAUACAUAAAGAGGGUAGGUAUUGCAUUGUUUUAUUUUUACGUACCCCUAAAGAGGGGUUAGAGGCCGGGCGUGGUGGCUUAUGC
rnacentral:lncRNA from 10 species